rnacentral:lncRNA from 1 species
GCGUGGCGUCACAGGACUGGGCCAGCAGCUCACAUCCACCCUGUCCUCCCUUUUUCAGGCCUAGGUUCACUGUCCCCCAGGCAGCUUCACGGCUGUUUUUACACACCUCCCAUUGUAGCUGUCUCACCGGGUCAUCGGUGACCACGGUGUCCACCAUGUUACCGAGAGCUUCUCUGUGCCCCUGGACGAGUCCUAAGGCUGUGCUGUCUCCGGACUUUCUGCAAAGGACCCUGUAAGGCUCCCAGCCUCCCCGGCCUCGCAGGCACCUUCUCUCCCCGGCCUCCCGGCGCUGGCCUCGCAGGCACCUUCUCUCCCCAGCCUCCCGGCGCCGGCCUCGCAGGCACCUUCUCUCCCCGGCCUCCCGGCGCCGGCCUCGCAGGCACCUUCUCUCCCCGGCCUCCUGGCACUGGCUUCGCAGGCACCUUCUCGGCACAUCUCUCUCAUUUCUUCUUCACUGGCUGACUCUGAACUGAGUGACCUGCAUGGCCAUCCUGAGAGGUGGGCCUCUGCCCGCACCUCCGCCCACCCCGC